rnacentral:rRNA from 1 species
AUUGAACGCUAGCGGCAUGCCUUACACAUGCAAGUCGAACGGCAGCGGGGGAGCUUGCUCCCGCCGGCGAGUGGCGAACGGGUGAGUAAUACAUCGGAACGUACCCAGUAGCGGGGGAUAGCCCGGCGAAAGCCGGAUUAAUACCGCAUACGCCCUACGGGGGAAAGGGGGGGAUCGCAAGACCUCUCACUAUUGGAGCGGCCGAUGGCUGAUUAGCUAGUUGGUGGGGUAAAGGCCUACCAAGGCGACGAUCAGUAGCUGGUCUGAGAGGACGACCAGCCACACUGGGACUGAGACACGGCCCAGACUCCUACGGGAGGCAGCAGUGGGGAAUUUUGGACAAUGGGCGAAAGCCUGAUCCAGCAAUGCCGCGUGUGCGAAGAAGGCCUUCGGGCUGUAAAGCACUUUUGUCGGGGAAGAAAUCGUUUGGGUUAAUACCCCGAGCAGUUGACGGUACCUGAAGAAUAAGCACCGGCUAACUACGUGCCAGCAGCCGCCGCAG